rnacentral:lncRNA from 1 species
AUAUUAUAACACCCUAUAUCGAUUUAUCUAGUCUAGAAUAACGACAAGAGUGUACAUAACUGAAUCGGGAAACAUUAAAUUUUCAUUACACAUCGUCCCAAUACAUAAAUAGGAUUACAAAAUCCAAGAGAUUACUACAAAAUCAAGCUAACAACUGAAAACAUAAAGAAACUAAAUCCUAUACAAAAUAUAAGAUAACAUGACAUCAGCUCAACUAACAUAAUCCAAGUAUCUGAACUCCAUGCUUGCAGGCCAUGAUAUCUCGAUCAUAAUUGAUUGGCUUUCUUAAAUUAACUUAAUAAUCCUGAUUGUUAUUCUGCCCAUGAAUUCCCUCCCAAGGUAUUUCUAAAUUGUCCUGAUUCCUGAUACUUAAUUUCCUGAGGUGUGAUUAACAUUCUAAAUAUGUAACGAUGUUACACUGUCCACAGAAAUACAUUAGGAAGAAUAAGAAUAUAAAACGAGUGAUUUGGCAAUUAAAGUAAAAUUUUGCAGUGUUCUAUUAUGACACUCUCGCCCAGCGAAGUCAUUCCUCGCUAAGCGAGUACAUCAGUACAAAAUCCUGUGUGCAUUUUUCUGAGAAAUCAAGCCAAUAAUCACCUACAAUCCAUAUAUUCCUAAUUUCAGACACUGUAAUUAGUUCAUAUAUUCAGAACGGAGAAUAGUUUGGGGAUUUAACCAUUCUCACACAAUAAAUUCCUUAAAUCCUAGUAUUGACAUGCAAUUGAUAAAUUGAGGAACUAAUAUUCUAACUGAGCUAAUGUUAUCAUGCAUUUAUUUUAUUUGGGGAAACUAAUGGAGCUAAACUAACUAGAGUUUAAGGCUCUAAGGGAACCCACCUUUAAUUAAUGGAUGAACUUGAUGAAAAACAGUAGUUUGAUAAUCUUGUGAGGCUUCCAGCUUUUCUCCUAUUUCACAAAAAUACCACCGAAAAGCUAAAGGAGAGCUUGGCUUCUCAAUCCUUCUCCAACUUCAGCCCAAUUCCUUUUCUCUGCCAACAAUGCUCCUCUGCUUCUUGAAUCCUUUGAUUCCCCACUCUUACUCAUCCAACCAAGAAUUUUGAGUACCACCAACUAGUUUGCAAAUAAAAUCAUCAUGAAACAGCCCAUGACUUGCAACGAAAUACAAAAGGUAUCAGCACAUCUUCAACUAUGUUACAAAUCUCUUGAUUUAAUUAUUUCCAAUCACCACCCCAAAUGUAAACAAUCAGUACCUUCAUUUCCCGUACAACAAAGACUACAUUGAACAAGUUUCAAGCUUCCAACUAUUGUUUCAAUUUUCAAACUUCCAGCUGCAAACCCAAUUGAUAUUUAAUUGAGAAUUUCACUUAUAUAAACUCUAAAAUAGGGAAUCGAGAGAAAUUGGAAUUAUUAACCCAUAACACUAAGGAUCCAACCAGUAGAUAAUCAAAGGAAAGGAAAAUAGAGUUCAUUCUUCUUACCUUGGUUUGCCAACAUUCUAAAAGCUUGAGAUUGAAGUGAUAACUAUACAUGCAAUGACUAAAUCAAUGAUUUGAGGAAAAUGAGAUUUGGGGCUUCUUAAAGAGAGGGUUUUUGGUACCGAGAGAGGAAGAGAAAAUCAAUAGGAAGUUGGUCUAUGUUUCUUUGCUAUA